rnacentral:rRNA from 1 species
CUGAGUGAAGCUGCCGCUUGAGGAGGGGCUCGCGGCCCAUCAGCUAGUUGGUAGGGUAAUGGCCUACCAAGGCAACGACGGGUAGCUGGUCUGAGAGGACGACCAGCCACACGGGAAUUGAGAUACGGUCCCGACUCCUACGGGAGGCAGCAGUGGGGAAUCUUGGGCAAUGGGGGAAACCCUGACCCAGCGACGCCGUGUGGGGGACGAAGGCCUUCGGGUUGUAAACCCCUGUUAGGUGGGACGAAUGCUCUUUCGUAAAUAACGAAGGGGCUUGACGGUACCACCAGAGAAAGCCCCGGCUAACUCCGUGCCAGCAGCCGCGGUAAUACGGAGGGGGCGAGUGUUG